rnacentral:lncRNA from 1 species
GUUGUCAGAGCAUUAAGAAGCAAGAGAGUAGAAUGUUACAGGGGGUGCUACAAUCACCCAGAUAAUAGCAGGAAGUAGGGUGGAGAGGCAUGUUAUAAAUCAGAAAGAAGAAUCUUCGGAGAAGGCUGGGAAGCAGGUGAUUUUUAGAGUUGAGGAAGCGGGCACACCUGCAAAACAGAAGAGAUUUUUGGAUGAAGGUUAUAGAACAGCAGUCUAGAGGCAGCAGUGGGAGCCAGUUUCUGUCCCUAGAUACUAGAGCUCCAAGAGCCUGGGAGAAUGACUCAUCUCUGCAGAAAGAGGUGGGAAGGAAUGUCGUUGCCAGGGGACCCAGUGGCUACGACAGAAAGAUGCCAAAAAAAGGGCUUCAGAAGCUGAUGGCAUAGUUAUGAGAGGGGUGAAGACUGCGACUGCAUUUCCAACAGACCCUGAGGACAAUUGGGAAGAAUGCGCUGAAUAUUUUUGAGCAAUUUCUAUAUGAUAAGCAGUUUUUAGGGCAAGUAUAGGUUGCACUGAUCCUGACCUUUUGGCCUGAGGAUGGAAGUCUUCAGUAUCUGUACAACUUUACUCCCAAGAGCUGGUGUAGAAUGAGUUCCUCUGGCCAUGGGAGGAUCGCAGAGGGGCACCUGCCACCAGCAGCCCAGCCUCAGCACUUUUCUCUUCAGCGUCUUCUUCAAGGUAUUUCCAGUUGCCCGCCCUGAACUGUUUCAGAAUGAGGAGGACACCUGGAGGAAUCUACACGUGCAUAGACCAAUUUGCAAAAGAACCUGUGAGCCAACAUUAUUACCUCAGCUGGAAGAAUUAAUAAGCAACACGUUCACCCAAGAAGUAUUUACUGAGCACCUACUAUGUGCAUUAUUUUCUGGUGUUGGGGCUAGGGGGCAAACGACUCUGACAAGUCUCUGUUCUCAAGGCUGGAGUGCAGCGGCGCGAUCUCGGCUCACUGCAAGCUCCGCCUCCCGGGUUCACGCCAUUCUCCUGCCUCAGCCUCCCGAGUAGCUGGGACUACAGGCGCCCGCAACCACGCCCGGCUAAUUUUUUGUAUUUUUAGUAGAGAUGGGGUUUCACCAUGUUAGUCAGGAUGGUCUCGAUUUCCUGACCUUGUGAUCCGCCCGCCCCCGCCUCCCAAAGUGCUGGGAUUACAGGCGUGAGCCACCGCGCCCGGCCGUAGUUUACAUUUUCUAAAGCGUACUCUGCCAGCCAAGUGGCAAACAGACUUGGGCCUCUUAAGAGUGGAAGCAGGAGGAAACCCGAAGAUCCUGGAGAGAGACUGGUGGCUGGUACCAGUGGAGAGGGAGCAAAAAGGAAAAUACAGGAUACAAUUUCAGGAAAAAUUUCAUACCAAUUUCCUGAGGUAAUUUCUGAACUCGAACAUUUUCAGUGUCACCACAUUGUGUUUCCUGCUGAAUCAAGUCUACAUCACUUCGGUUUUUAAAGCCUUCCACGAUCCUUCCCUGAACACUGUAGUUUUCACUGAUGGUUGGCUGUUUCAAACUCCCAUAUGAUCCAUACUGUAUCAUUAAUAAGCAAGCAAGGAAUAACACACCCUCUGCUAUUCUGUGCAGUGUUUCAGGUUUUUAGUUUUCUCUUUCAAGAUAGAAAAUCCCUUUAGAGUAGGAACUCGGCUGGCACUUUCUUUCACAUCCUGCAUAGCACUUAGCAAAGUUCUGUACACAGGGCACAUGUGGAAAUUGCUUAUUGAUUGAUUAAAAGCAUAUAUCACUGGCAUUUGUAUCUUCAGUAUUUCUCUUGUAUGAAGAAGGGUGAUUAUCUGUCAAUAUUCAUUGCAUCAUUGAACCAAUGUACAAUGCAUUAAUCAUCACUGAAGAUAACCAGAUGAGGCUUUAUUGUAAUCUCCUUCUAUUUUGCUGAGAUAAUUUCACUUGCUUUAGAGUUUAUGAGGCCAUAAGUGGCUCCCAUCUGUUGAUGAACAUAUUUCUAAGAGUCAUUUAGUCUCAAGUAUGGAAUACUUGAGGGGAAGUUAAAUUGUAACUUUUAUAUUAAGUGUCAUCUUAGUAACAGAACCAAAAUUGGAAGCAUGUGUUCAAUUUUGGUUUUUCAUUUUCAAAGCUUUAGGUCAGGCAAAGAAUUAAUUUCAUUUGUUUACAAAGUAGAUUAUGCCUAAUAAAAUCUAUUUUGUUUAUGGUCACAUUUUAAUCAAUCCACUGCUUUAGAAAAUGAGAGAAUUCUGAUUGGCUAAUCAUUCAACAUAGUAAAUUACAUUAUUCCACAUCCACAGAACACUGGCCUAAUUGCAUUAUCCAGUAAUGAUAAAAAUAUUCCUUUUAAUACAUUUUGAGCAAGGCAUAUACCAGUGAUGAAACAGGGAAGAAUCUUGUUUAUUCCAUCCUUGUUUGAUGAUCGACCACAGAAUAUAACAUAACACUUCUGUGUAUAAGAAUUUUUUCAACAUUAAGGAUAAUAAGGACAAGGUAGUUUUCACUGGAUCCUUACUGGUACUCUGAAUUUUCACUAUUUGUCCGCAUUUCUUCUCCUUCCCGGAAAUUUGUUUUCUGCGAAAAACAAGUGCUACUUUGUCAAAUAAAGCUUAAAUAAAAUUGGUUUCAAUUUAUGCAUAAUAAAAGGAAUGCCUAGUGACUUUCUAUCUCUAGUGGGAGGUAGAAAACUCUCCAGGGUGACUUUAUUCACUCCAGAGGUUCUGGUGAGCACCAAGGAACAUUACCUCUGCAAAAUGCAGACAUACGCAAAAGGAUGCAUCAAAUUUAAGAGAAGUCCGUAGAUAGAUAUCUGAGGGAUCUGCCUUAGGGGAUGUAGACCAUAUAUACAACACGAAUUCCACAGAAUUAGCCUGGUAUUCACGAUCACUGUUUCUUAAAACAUAACUCUUUUAUGUUACCAAGCAACUUUUAUCUGAGAUGAUGACUACUCGAAUACUUCUUUUGCAUAUCGCCAGAAAAUAUCAAGUUUUCAUUUGAGUCCUUAAUUCAAGUUCUUUAUCACAAGAAGAAAGAAUAGCAUGGAUAAAAUGGUUUAAAGGUAGCCAAAAAAAAAACAAAACAUUGUAUUUUAGAAUGCAUAUUCAAACAUAUUCCAAAAAAUACUGUAUUUUAGAAUGCAUAUUCAAACAUGAUGACAAGUGGGCUCUGUGGCUCAUAUUGACAAUAGCUUUAACCUAUGAAGUG